AUACGUAGGGUGCGAGCGUUGUCCGGAAAUACUGGGCGUAAAGAGCUCGUAGGUGGUUUGUCGCGUCGUCUGUGAAAUUCCGGGGCUUAACUCCGGGCGUGCAGGCGAUACGGGCAUAACUUGAGUACUGUAGGGGAGACUGGAAUUCCUGGUGUAGCGGUGAAAUGCGCAGAUAUCAGGAGGAACACCGGUGGCGAAGGCGGGUCUCUGGGCAGUAACUGACGCUGAGGAGCGAAAGCAUGGGUAGCGAACAGGAUUAGAUACCCUGGUAGUCCAUGCCGUAAACGGUGGGCGCUAGGUGUAGGGGUCUUCCACGACUUCUGUGCCGUAGCUAACGCAUUAAGCGCCCCGCCUGGGGAGUACGGCCGCAAGGCUAAAACUCAAAUGAAUUGACGGGG
rnacentral:rRNA from 1 species